rfam:Brevibacillus panacihumi W25 genomic scaffold Scaffold1, whole genome shotgun sequence.
UAAGCCCUACGAUGUCCGUGACAUCUGAUCGUUUUGAGCCACAAUGUUUGAUUCGGGAGUCGAAAGUCCCAACUGGAAAGGCACGCCUCCGCAAGAGUGGAAGUCUCUUUCAGUUGGGCAGACGCCCACCUGCGAUGAGCAGGUUCAAAACGUAGGAAAUCACGACAUAAUGGGGCUGCU